AUUGAACGCUGGCGGCAUGCCUUACACAUGCAAGUCGAACGGCAGCACGGGUGCUUGCACCUGGUGGCGAGUGGCGAACGGGUGAGUAAUACAUCGGAACGUACCUUAUCGUGGGGGAUAACGCAGCGAAAGCUGUGCUAAUACCGCAUACGCCCUGAGGGGGAAAGCGGGGGAUCGCAAGACCUCGCGCGAUUAGAGCGGCCGAUGCCUGAUUAGCUUGUUGGUGGGGUAAAAGCCCACCAAGGCGACGAUCAGUAGCUGGUCUGAGAGGACGAGCAGCCACAGUGGGACUGAGACACGGCGCAGACUCCUACGGGAGGCAGCAGUGGGGAAUUUUGGAGAAUGGGGGCAACCCUGAUCCAGCAAUGCCGCGUGAGUGAAGAAGGCCUUCGGGUUGUAAAGCUCUUUUGUCAGGGAAGAAACACCGGCUCUAACACAGUCCGGGAAUGACGGUACCUGAAGAAUAAGCACCGGCUAACUACGUGCCAGCCGCCGCCGUAA
rnacentral:rRNA from 1 species